CAUAUUUUUUUAAAUUUAACAGAAUAUAGUUCAGUCUAUUGGAUACCUUCAUACGGCGCGAACACUUUAUAUAAGAAAACUAUAAAAUUUCUAAAUGUGUAAUUGAAAAUUCAAAUAUUUGUGUAUAUAUGUAUAUGUAUAUAAAUAUACGCAUGUAAUAUAAGAAUAAUAUAACACAUAAAAAUGUAGUAUACACACUAUGGAUUAUAUAAAUUUAUUUCAAAAAUUAUAACUGUUAAAGUUCAAAACUGAAAAAAAGCAAAAAAAAACUAAGGAACAAAAAUUUUGAAAAACCCGAAUUAAACGAAAAUAUCAAAUAAGUGUUAUAUUAAAUUAAAAAUUAUACAUAACUUAUUUAAAAAAUAAAUUUAUUAAAAAAAAAUUAAAAUUUAAAAAUAUAAUAUUUAGGAGAUUAAGAAACAAUCCAAAAUAACAAAAAAGAAAAAUCCAUAUUAAUUAAAUUAAAAGGAAAAAAAAAUAAAAAAAGAAGUCACAGGUGAGAAAUCACAAGUAUAACAAAACGCAAUUAAUUUUUUUUUUAAUAAUUAAUUAAAAUUGUCAAUUUCGAAUAUUUGCUUCAAAAUUAAAUUGGUAUACCAACAUAUAUAAGCUAUUUCACAUGAUUACGAAUACAAAACGUGUGCACAAAAGAAUGAACUUUCAUAAUAAUCAGAUUUAUAAAGAUGUGCAAGUGUGCGUGUGUAAUAUUUGUUAAAUACUGUUCAAUCACACGAGUAAUGUAAAGUUAUUGAAGUGGAACAAGAACUGGAACAAGUACACAAAAAAAACUUGUUUUAAUAAAGGAAAAAAAAAAUGAUCAUAUGUAAAUUGUUAUACAAGUAUAAUAAUAAUCGAGUACAAUACACAUACAUUCAUACUACAAAAUUACAGUUAUAAAAAAAAAUUAAAUUGAAAAGUAAAUGUGAAUAAAGUAAAUUAAACAUUAUAUACACACAAAAUAUAGAUACAUAACAUAAAUAUAUUAAAAGAAAUUAUAUACGCCUACAUAUAUGCAAAAAGUAAGCGUUAUAUUUUAACGAAAAAAAAGGUGAAAUUUUUAUAAUAUAAAUAAUAAAAAAAAAAAACAUAAAAGAAUUUCCAAAAAAGGAUAUUGCAAAUUAAAAAUAAACAGAAAAUUCAAACGAAAAAUUAAAAAAUAAAAAAAAAAAAUAAGGAUAUUUUAAUAGAAAAAAGGCGGUAAAGGAAUAAAUGCAGUGGUUUAUAAGGUUAGCAGAACAAUUUACAUAUUGUGGAUAAUUUAUUUAUUUCUUACUAAAAAUGUGAAAUGGUAAUUUUUAAUAAAAUUGAGCACUACUUUUUAACCAACAUUAAAUUUUGAAAUUGAAAAACAAACUGGUGGCCGAACAAACAAUUGAGGCAGUUUUAAUUUUUUCUAAUCCUCUUAAAAACCGUUGAAAGUAAAGUGAACUACGUAUUCCACCAUAGCUAAUUAAAAAGUCGUUCGGGUAUUAUUGUCGACAAGCGGAAUUCAAAUCGUAAAAAAAACUAUUUUACUUUAUCAUUAGACCAGUUAUAGGCUUUCGAAAAAAAAAAUCUUACACUAACUGAGUUGUGAAGUUGAAGGGGAAAUAAAUUCACCAUGUAGCUUUCCAUUGUAUAAGAUUUAUUUUCUAUUUUGGUUUUUUUUUCCAACCCAUUUUUUAUAAUUGUAAGCAUAAGAAGGAAUUACAAGAACUAGUCACGUCCAUAUGCAAUUAAUCCUAGAAAAUUAUUUGUCCCAUAAAGUGUGAUUUUUUUUUUUUUUGUAAAAAUUUAUGCGUCAGAAAUAAGAGAAAUAUAAAAAUUGCGGUCCAAUAAGAAGUGCCAUUUAUAAAAUAAUAAAAAUUAUAAAUUUCCAUUUAUAGAAACCAAUAAUAAAUGUUGCCAAAAAGUUUUUAUAUGCGGUAGCAAUGAUUUAAUUUCCCCAUAAAAAUUAAAUUAUGGUUUUUAAUUUUGAAUUCUGUAAUUUCUUUUUGUUUCGUUUUUAGGUUGAAUUUAAUUUUUUAACCACUGUUCCUGUUAACACUUAGAUGACAAGGACGAGAUUAUACGUAACGUGUAGUUGUUAAUCUUUAUUAUUAAUUUUUUUAUAAGAAUAAUUAAUUGAAAUUCCUUCAUACAACUGUAAAACGGACGGAUGACGAAAUCAAAGGAACUAGUCAAGGCAGAAAAAUUAAAAAAUUUUUUCCAUGAUACUAGACUCAAACCAUUGGCCUGCCGUUGUCUAGGCGGACGCUCUACCAACUAAGCUACAGAGGUAUUUUCUGCCUAAACUCGUUGCUUUGAUUACUUCAUCCAUCUAUUUUGUAAUUGUAUGAAGGAAUUUCCAUUAAAAUUUUAUGUGAGAAUUUGAGCUUAAAUUGUAUUUCGUGUUCUUUUUAGAAAAUUAAAUUGGGGAAAAAAAAGACUUAACGCAAUUAUCUUAUUACUAUUUUUAUAAAAUUUAUAAUUUUUUAGAUGCGACGUUAAAAUUUAUCGCACAAGCUGUAAAAAAAAAUGAAGAGCUUAAAUCAAAAACUGCUUCUCUUUAAUAUCUGAAGGUUUCAAAUGUCCAAUAGUUUUAAGAUCCUUUAAAUAUCAAGAUUUUUGCAGUUCACAGAAUUUUAAAUUUUCUCCCAAAUGGUGCAAACUGACUUUAGCAAAAAAUAAUAGUUUAGGACUUCUAUCCUUUAUCAUUGCAGAGCAAUUUGAAAUGUUCACAGUUAGCACAGUUAUUAUUGAGCAAAUUAUUUAAACCUUCUUUUUUUCUUUUAAACCAAUUAUUAAUUAAAAUUUCAAAUGUAAAUUUUUGGUUGUUUAGUCAUCAACUAUAGUGUAUCCAUGUAAUUAGUAAUAUUUAAAUAGUCUUUCUUAAUUAAUCAUUCCCUUACUCUGAGUUCAUUUUGUUCUCGGUCCAAAUUAAAUUGUGCAGUUUAGCAUAGAAUUCUUUGAUUAACCUAUACUGCCCUAAACUAUCACUUACAAUAUUACAGAUCAAUUUUCUAUCCAGAAUCAAAUGUCAAAAAUAAUUUCGAAUACAGGAAACAUAGAAAAUAUAAGAAUAUCAAUUUAACAAGACAAAUUACUUCAGCUUAUCAAGGAAAACAAACUGUUCGAGUAGGGGGAAUUCGACAUUAUUAUAAAAUACAAAAAACAACUUUAAAAAUUAACAAAUAAUUUUGGAAUAACUGAAAAACACUUUUCUUCUCAUCAUCUCUUACACUUCUUGCUCUAUACUACAUCUUUAAAUGUUCACCUUUAAAUUGAAUAAAUUAACUGUUAAAUAAUUUCAUACUUUACCUUGUGGAAUUUAAUUAAGAAAAAAAGUUUAUCUUAUAAGGAGAGGAAGAACACUUAAAACACCAGAAACUUGAAAUCAACUAUGAGAAUGGAAUGAAAUUGAAAAUAUUUUAUUUUUGUUCUUGUUGCUUUUUUGUUCCUAGUCAAAGAAAAACACAAAGAAUUAAUUACAAUCACUUGCGGGGGAAAAUAGAAAAAAUAUUUUUUCAUUAUGAAAUGAAUUUGCCCCUAGUCUUAUGAUAAUAACUGUUAUCUUAAAGUCUUUAUAUAUAAAGAUUCUGACAAACUUUUCAAAUAUAAAUGGACUGUGAAAUGAUU